UAGGGAAUCUUCCACAAUGGACGCAAGUCUGAUGGAGCAACGCCGCGUGAGUGAAGAAGGUUUUCGGAUCGUAAAGCUCUGUUGUUGGUGAAGAAGGAUAGAGGCAGUAACUGGUCUUUAUUUGACGGUAAUCAACCAGAAAGUCACGGCUAACUACGUGCCAGCAGCCGCGGUAAUACGUAGGUGGCAAGCGUUGUCCGGAUUUAUUGGGCGUAAAGCGAGCGCAGGCGGAAUGAUAAGUCUGAUGUGAAAGCCCACGGCUCAACCGUGGAACGGCAUCGGAAACUGUCAUUCUUGAGUGCAGAAGAGGAGAGUGGAAUUCCAUGUGUAGCGGUGGAAUGCGUAGAUAUAUGGGAGGACACCAGUGGCGAAGGCGGCUCUCUGGUCUGCAACUGACGCUGAGGCUCGAAAGCAUGGGUAGCGAACAGG
rnacentral:rRNA from 1 species